UAUCUCUCUUUUUUGUCAUGGAACUCGCAAAAUCAUCUCUCUCUUCUUUUGGUCUUCUUAAGGUGACGAAGGUCGAGAGUUUAUCACCGUGGAGCACUGUGGCGAUGAUUUUCUAGCAGAACUUGCUGAAACUAUGCAACACAUUGAGGAUUGGGAUGAUUUGCAAGAUGCAGAAUCAGAAGCUUGUGAGUUUUGACUGAUAUGUUUGGCCAAGAUACCCCUAAUGACGGUGAAUGCAAUGUUGUGCACGAUGUUAACAUUAUAGAGGAUUCUCCACAACCUGAGAAAAAUCAAACAUUUCUUGAGGUGGAUUCCUCUACUGAAAGUGAAGACGAAGAUGAUAUAUUUGGUAGUACUCCGAGCAAUUCGUCCACUCAACUUUUGACUACACGAUCUUUAGAAUCCAUGGACUGUAAGAGCACUGAUACUCAUGGUUCGAUAUCAUCAGUUUCAAGUAAAAGACAUCACUCUCAGAUUUCAACAUGCAAACAAGGAACUCUGAGUAAUGAGGAAUUGCAAGCCUUGGAUGACAUAGAAUUGGCAAAUGUUGUAAUAUUCGGAAACAAGGCAUUUCGACCAAUGCAGCAUCAGGCUUGUAAAACUUCUGUAGCCAAGCAAGAUUGCUUCGUUCUCACGCCCACUGGAGGUGGUAAAAGUUUACGUUACUAGGAUCAAAUAAUUACUCUAACCCUCAAGUACGGAAUACCAUCAACUUUCUUGAGCUCUCAGCAAACCGCUGCCCAGGCAGCAGCUGUCCUCCAAGAACUAAGGCAAGGUUUAGCUCUCUUCCUGCUGAAGCAUAUCCUACUCUACAAUCUUUCUCCCGCCAUAAAAUGGUUUGCUCCAUAUGUUGCAAAGGAUGUACAUUUUUUAAGUAGUUAAUGAAAAGAUGCAUGCCUAAGAUGUUUCCCUUAAAAAUAAAUUUUAGCAUCUUAGCCUUCCGAGAGAAGUAUAUCAUACCGUACAAUCAUUGUCCCUCCAUAAAAUGUUGGGCC